UACAGAGGUCUCAAGCGUUGUUCGGAUUCAUUGGGCGUAAAGGGUGUGUAGGUGGCGCGCUAAAGUCGGGUGUGAAAUUUCGGAGCUUAACUCCGAAACUGCAUUCGAUACUGGCGUGCUUGAGGACUGGAGAGGAGACUGGAAAUUCAUGGUGUAGCAGUGAAAUGCGUAGAGAUCAUGAGGAAGACCAGUGGCGAAGGCGGGUCUCUGGACAGUUCCUGACACUGAGACACGAAGGCCAGGGGAGCAAAACGGGG
rnacentral:rRNA from 1 species